rnacentral:SRP_RNA from 1 species
GCUGGGCAUGGUGGUGCAUGCCUAUAAUCCCAGCUACUUGGGAGGCUGAGGCAGGAGAAUCACUUGAACCCAGGAGGCAGAGGUUGCAGUGAGCCAAGAUCAUGCCACUGCACUCCAGCAUGGGUGACAGAGUGAGACUCUGUCUCAA